rnacentral:rRNA from 1 species
CCUACGUGCGGCAGCAGUGAGGAAUAUUGGUCAAUGGGCGCGAGCCUGAACCAGCCACGUAGCGUGAAGGAUGACUGCCCUACGGGUUGUAAACUUCUUUUAUAAAGGAAUAAAGUGAGGCACGUGUGCCUUUUUGUAUGUACUUUAUGAAUAAGGCUCGGCUAACUCCGUGCCAGCAGCCGAGGUAAUACGGAGGAUCCGAGCGUUCUCCGGAUUUAUUGGGUUUAAAGGGAGCGUAGAUGGGUUGUUAAGUCAGUUGUGAAAGUUUGCGGCUCAACCGUAAAAUUGCAAUUGAUACUGGCAGCCUUGAGUACAGUUGAGGUAGGCGGAAUUCGUGGUGUAGCGGUGAAAGGCUUAGAUAUCACGAAGAACUCCGAUUGCGAAGGCAGCUUACUAAACUGCCACUGACAUUGAUGCUCGAAAGUGUGGGUAUCAAACAGGAUUAGAUACCCGAGUAGUC